rnacentral:rRNA from 1 species
GGAAGGGGUGUAUUUAUUAGAUUAAAAACCAAUGCCCUUCGGGGCUCUUUGGUGAUUCAUAAUAACUUUUCGAAUCGCAUGGCCUUGCGCCGGCGAUGGUUCAUUCAAAUUUCUGCCCUAUCAACUUUCGAUGGCAGGGUCUUGGCCUGCCAUGGUUACAACGGGUAACGGAGGGUUAGGGCUCGACCCCGGAGAAGGAGCCUGAGAAACGGCUACUACAUCCAAGGAAGGCAGCAGGCGCGCAAAUUACCCAAUCCCGAUUCGGGGAGGUAGUGACAAUAAAUACUGAUACAGGGCUCUUUUGGGUCUUGUAAUUGGAAUGAGUACAAUUUAAAUCCCUUAACGAGGAACAAUUGGAGGGCAAGUCUGGUGCCAGCAGCCGCGGUAAUUCCAGCUCCAAUAGCGUAUAUUAAAGUUGUUGCAGUUAAAAAGCUCGUAGUUGAACCUUGGGCCUGGCUGGCCGGUCCGCCUCACCGCGUGCACUGGUUCGGCCGGGCCUUUCCCUCUGGGGAACCCUAUGGUCUUCACUGAUCGUAGCGGGGAACCAGGACUUUUAC